UAGGGAAUCUUCGGCAAUGGACGAAAGUCUGACCGAGCAACGCCGCGUGAGUGAAGAAGGUUUUCGGAUCGUAAAACUCUGUUGUUAGAGAAGAUCAAGGACGUUAGUAACUGAACGUCCCCUGACGGUAUCUAACCAGAAAGCCACGGCUAACUACGUGCCAGCAGCCGCGGUAAUACGUAGGUGGCAAGCGUUGUCCGGAUUUAUUGGGCGUAAAGCGAGCGCAGGCGGUUUCUUAAGUCUGAUGUGAAAGCCCCCGGCUCAACCGGGGAGGGUCAUUGGAAACUGGGAGACUUGAGUGCAGAAGAGGAGAGUGGAAUUCCAUGUGUAGCGGUGAAAUGCGUAGAUAUAUGGAGGAACACCAGUGGCGAAGGCGGCUCUCUGGUCUGUAACUGACGCUGAGGCUCGAAAGCGUGGGGAGCAAACAGG
rnacentral:rRNA from 1 species